rnacentral:rRNA from 1 species
CAGCAGCCGCGGUAAUACGUAGGGUGCGAGCGUUAAUCGGAAUUACUGGGCGUAAAGCGUGCGCAGGCGGUUAUAUAAGACAGAUGUGAAAUCCCCGGGCUCAACCUGGGACCUGCAUUUGUGACUGUAUAGCUAGAGUACGGUAGAGGGGGAUGGAAUUCCGCGUGUAGCAGUGAAAUGCGUAGAUAUGCGGAGGGACACCGAUGGCGAAGGCAAUCCCCUGGACCUGUACUGACGCUCAUACACGAAAGCGUGGGGAGCAAACAGGAUUAGAUACCCCUGUAGUCCCUGUCUCUUAUAC